GCGCUAGUGGUUUAGUGGUAAAAUCCAUCGUUGCCAUCGAUGGGCCCCGCGUUCGAUUCGCGGCUGGCGCA
rnacentral:tRNA from 1 species